CUCUGUUGGAAGCAGGAACUGGAACAGUGCUGGUUCUCAGGCCUGGGCACAGCUUUUGUGUCUCUCUUUGGCUCUUGAUAACCUUUGCUUCGGUUCUAUCUGUUUAUUUUCCUCCAGAGGAGUUCUUUGAUUUCCCAUGUGCCUGAUUACAAUACCAACAACAGUGAUGAAUCCUGCUGCCAUGUCCUGGGCACCCAACCAUGUGCCACGUGCUCCCCUGGUCCUUUUCUGUACCUUGUGUCCAAGCUCAGGGCCACCUUUUAAAACCAGAUUGUGUUAUCUUCAUUUUGCUGAUGAGACAACUGGUGCUGAUGAGAUAACCGUGACUUUCCUAAGAUUACUUAUCCAUUCUGUGGCCAUUUGGGGUUUCAGUCUGGUCUCACGUACUCUGUAGCAAGGUCCUUUCCAGCGUAUAUCCCUCCUUCAGAUGUUGGACAUGAACAGCAGGGAACAGACUCAACUUUCAGGCCUCUGAGUGCACUAGGAGGCCAACCCCCGUGAGCCACAGACGCACAUGACAACACGUUGGUGCUUAUACUUCUGAUGCACGGGCACUAUUCAGUGAUAUCGUGGCUCUUUGACAGAAGUGAGUCAUGUAGCAUGUUUGAUGAACAUAUUCCCAAGUCUCCGUCUUUUGUGGAAGGGAGAGGAUGUGGGUGCACAGUAGAAGCAUCAGAGAAGGUGGAGUAUGAGAAAGACUGGAAAUGGGACACGGACACAGUGUGGUAGAGUCUCCAGCUGACCCUGGAGAGAUUUCCAAGCCAAAACUACCGAACUUGUAGAUUCCAGGGAACCCCAAACCAGAGGUAAGAAAUGUCUUGUCUUUGUGAAUUCUACUCAGAGGUGGGGCUUCCCAGGUGGCUCAGUGGGAAAGAAUCAGCCUGUAAUACAGAAGAUGUGGGUUCAAUCCAUGGGUUGGGAAGAUCCCCUGAAGAAGGAAAUGGCAACCCACUCCAGUAUUCUUGCCUGGGGUAUCCCAUGGACACAGGAGCCUGGUGGCUACAAUUGAUGAGCUCACAAAGAGUCAAACAGAACUUCGUGGCUGAGCACACAUGGGAGAUAUUGAAUGUCUUUUCCCAUCCAGGGCCAAGUUUAGACGAUCACACUGCUUUAUCUCUUUUUGCUGAAAAGAUGACCUAGUCCAUCCUGUAGCUGAGGAUGCAGCUUUUUGAGUGUCCUGGCUUGAUGUCUAUGUAAAGCCUUGACUCCCAUCCCUCUAUGGUGUAAAAGACCAAGCCCCUAUUUUGCCUAGACUGGUGACCAUGAAGCCUGCCUGGGGGCAGCUACAGUAUCAUUUCACGAAUAACCCUCAAGACUUCUAGUCCAUUUUCGUUUUAAGCCUUUUGGAAUUCCCCUGAUAUUUUUUUCUUUUUGCAAGUUCAGUUUUGCUGCACUUAAAAGGAUGUUCAUUGUAUGUCAGCCAGUAGUUCUAGAGGCUUUGUAAUCAUAGACUCUUCAGGUUAUCUAGUCCAGAAUAUUCCUAGAGAUAGAGAUCUGCCAAGGAAAUUGAAAGCCCCCUCUUCAUAGCUAUACCUGCCCUGCAUGGGCCGUGGCUGAGGUUUCGCAGAAAAUAAACAUUUUAAGGAGAUUUUGCAAGAGUUAGGAAGAGAGAUGAGCAAAUAUGAUAAUCUCUUUUUUAAGUGAAGACAUAAGUGAGAGAUGUUGCAGGCAACUGCACUCUCUGAAGGAACACUGGUGUCCUUGGCAGGACAUCUCAUGAUGUGAUGUGAUGUGAUGUGAUGUGAUGUGAUGGUUUCUUUUUCUUAAAUCAAAGAAGGAUAAUGCAAUAGAGAGGAAGAUAUUUCAUUUUAAUCUUUUACAUCUGUUCACCAAGUAUAAAAGGAUAAAAUAAGAUAAAGCAAUGCUCUCUUGAGAAGUCCAUAUUUUCAAAGGCUUUUGGCAUUAAUGUGCUUAUUAAUUGUCAUGGAUAGUCACUGUCAUCAGAAU
ensembl:lncRNA